UACGUAGGUGGCAAGCGUUGUCCGGAUUGACUGGGCGUAAAGCGCACGCAGGCGGAUACGCGCGUGGGGUGUGAAAUCUGGCCGCUUAACGGCCAGGCGCCAUCCCAUACGGCGUGUCUGGAGCUGUGCAGAGGUCGGUGGAAUUGCCGGUGUAGUGGUGAAAUGCGUAGAGAUCGGCAGGAACACCCAGGGGGAAACCAGCCGACUGGGCAUCUACUGACGCUGAGGUGCGAGAGCGUGGGGAGCGAACCGG
rnacentral:rRNA from 1 species